UACGAAGGGGGCUAGCGUUGUUCGGAAUUACUGGGCGUAAAGCGCACGUAGGCGGACCAGCAAGUUAGGGGUGAAAUCCCGGGGCUCAACCCCGGAACUGCCUUUAAAACUGUUGGUCUCGAGUUCGAGAGAGGUGAGUGGAAUUCCGAGUGUAGAGGUGAAAUUCGUAGAUAUUCGGAGGAACACCAGUGGCGAAGGCGGCUCACUGGCUCGAUACUGACGCUGAGGUGCGAAAGCGUGGGGAGCAAACAGG
rnacentral:rRNA from 1 species